AACGCGAAGAACCUUACCAGGUCUUGACAUCCAACUAACGAAGCAGAGAUGCAUUAGGUGCCCUUCGGGGAAAGUUGAGACAGGUGGUGCAUGGUUGUCGUCAGCUCGUGUCGUGAGAUGUUGGGUUAAGUCCCGCAACGAGCGCAACCCUUAUUGCUAGUUGCUACGUAAGAGCACUCUAGCGAGACUGCCGUUGAUAAAACGGAGGAAGGUGGGGAUGACGUCAAAUCAUCAUGCCCCUUAUGACCUGGGCUACACACGUACUACAAUGGCUGUUAACAGAGGGAAGCAAUACAGUGAUGUGGAGCAAAACCCCAAAAACAGUCUUAGUUCGGACUGCAGGCUGCAACUCGCCUGCACGAAGUUGGAAUUGCUAGUAAUCGCAGAUCAGCAUGCUGCGGUGAAUACGUUCCCGGGCCUUGUAACACCG
rnacentral:rRNA from 1 species